rnacentral:misc_RNA from 1 species
CGGGAUGGGCGAACAGAAGUCAGCCGAGGCCGUAGUAGUUGCUCGAAACCGGAGUGACGAAGGGC